GAGAGUUGUAGUCCAAGACAUAUUAGAUAUUGGAGAAUGGAAGAGGUUUAUUGGAUAUAUCACUGCUGCCUAAAUCAGAAAGAAAAGUAGUGUUCUCUUAAGCAAUAAGCCUGCUGUUAGAGCUAUGUAAAUGUGCAACUCAAAUUUUGUUCUUCUUCCACAGAGCCCAGAUUAGACCAGGGCUGAGUUCACUUUUCCUUUGCCACUGUUGCACUCCACCCUUGCUUGGUGGUUUCCUCUAGAACAUGUGGUUUGUGCUUCCAGUUUGAAUACCCAGCAAAGUUAGCAACGCCCAGGAGACCUGAAUGGCUUCCCAACUUGCAUUUUCACCCAUGCUAGGGAAAAAGACAGGUUUUGAAAACUGGAGGGUGACAGACGGAACAUUGCCUACCCUGCCAUCAAAUACAUCUCAAAGGUACUAGAUUCAAGAGACUUGCAGAAAUCAAAUGAAACCAGCUAUGAAGCAAUCUGGAAAAGUAUCAAGGGAUUAUUUCUAUUUCAUAAGAUAAAGGUAAAGGUUCCCCUCGCACAUAUGUGCUAGUCGUUUCUGACUCUAGGGGGCGGUGCUCAUCUCCACUUCAAAGCCAAAGAGCCAGCGCUGUCUGAAGACAUCUCCAUGUGGCCGGCAUGACUAAAUGCCAAAGGCAUACGGAAUGCUGUUACCUUCCUACCAAAGAAUAGUACCAUUUGACAGUAACUUGCAACAGAAACAAUAGAAGCAGAAUAGAAACUGGCAAAGAAAGCACACUACCACACAGCACAAAUUUCACACUAAACUGAAAAAGCUUCUUGGAUGAGAAGCGAAAUGUCUUCAAGGAAAAACAAAGAAAGUCCAGUUGCCUCUUGAAAAAGCACCUUUGGAACAUCCAUGACAUGAUGACUGAGAAUCUCCACAGAUACUCACAGCUUAAUAACAGUGGUAACUAGGUUCUUCCUUUACUGUUGAGCUACUUGGCAGAUUUGCUAAACAUUGGGGAAGGUUUCCACCACUAUGUGAUUAUGUCACAACAUUGUGCGGCCAUUAAUUUCUGUCCACUUCUAGUCAGACAGAGUUGGACUUAAUAACAUUUCAAGUACUGACCUCCUCAGUAUUCUUGGUACUCAGACAAAAAGAAAGAGAAUUUUUCUUUCAACAUGACUUCACCAAAAAGGCAAAAGAUUUUAAUUCAAUAAUUAAAACCAAUUUGGGGAAUGAAAUUCUCUAUGGGAGAAAGCAAUUCCUGUUCAGAAAAGAGGUGUGAUGUCAAACAAAAUGACAGUUUUGCAUUUAUUUCCCCCCCCUAAUCUGAUAUUGGUGCAAUAUGAGGGAAUGAAAGGAAGUAAGGCAGGUUUUGUGUGCACAAAUAUUUUGCAUGUUAUUUAUUGUACAAAUGUUUGGACUGCCCCUCCACUUGAGGUAAUGGACAAAUACAGUACAAAAUACUUAAAUUAUUUUUUGAACAGUAAGACCAGAAAUUGUUUUCCUCAUUUAAAAACUCAAGUAAAAAAAUAAUCUGGGUAGGACAAAAUCAAUCAAGCAAGUUUCUUUUAAAAUUCAGAAGAAUUGUGAAUUUUCAUCACGGGGACUAGGUUUUGCUUUAACGUGAAUGAAUACAUUAAAUCAGUUGGAAAAUUAAUGUAUCUAUGUAGUUUUUUAUUUCAAGCCCAAUUAUAGAGGAACUGUCAGAAUCCGUCUGGGAAUAAUUCUAGGUUUUUAAAGGACUUCUAUUCUUAAAUCCCAUGAAUCAGCUCUACAAUGGUUCAUCAUAUUACAGGUCAAUCCUAACAAUGGUGGCAUGCUAAAAGGG